rnacentral:rRNA from 1 species
AUUGAACGCUGGCGGCAGGCUUAACACAUGCAAGUCGAGCGAGAGGCGGACGGGUGAGUAAUGUCUGGGAAACUGCCUGAUGGAGGGGGAUAACUACUGGAAACGGUAGCUAAUACCGCAUACCAUCAGAUGUGCCCAGAUGGGAUUAGCUAGUAGGUGGGGUAAUGGCUAACCUAGGCGACUAUCCCUAGCUGGUCUGAGAGGGUGACCAUGCACACUGGAACUGAGACACGGUCCAGACGCCUACGGUAGGCAGCAGUGGGGAAUAUUGCAUAAGGGGCGCAAGCCUGAUGCAGCCAUGCCGCGUGUGUGAAGAAGGCCUUCGGGUUGUAAAGCAAUUUCAGCGAGGAGGCGUUACUCUCAGAAGAAGCACCGGCUAACUCCGUGCCAGCAGCCGCGGUAAUUC